CUGCAUUAAAAGAACGUUCAAAGCACUUUCAGAGAGAAUAACUUAAUUGGAAAAGGAAGUUAAUCUAGAUGUCUGUCAACAAACUUGCCUGACAUCUCUGAAAGUUUGGAAACCCCCUUAUUUCAACCAUUCUGUAGGGGAAAAAGAGCUCAUUGAAUAAUUUCAACCAGAGAAAGCACAGUGAGAGACAGAGGGGAGAAACUAAUCAUAAAUUUCAAUCUUGUCACACUCGUAAUCACUGGUAAAAUCAAUUAAUACAUACAAGAUUGUUCAUUGGUCCGUGGGUGAUAAGAAGGGACGUGGGAGUGCCAUGGCCUGAACUCCAGCAUGCAGUUGGAAAAACGAUGCUUCACGGACAAGUCGAAGGACAGGAACGGCUACAGUUGGAAGCUAAGUGUCAUCCGGGUCCCGGGCCGAAGUUGCAGUCCCUCUCCAGCAUCUGCCAUGAGAACACAGAGGAGUGUGGGCCUCCUCAAUUCCUGCUGUCAUCCUCCACACAUAUCCCAAUACAGCCUUCCUUUAGCCUUAGAUCCAUUUCAGCUGUUCUCUUCUCCAUGCCUCCUCUGCAGAAGCAAGACAGGACAGAAGCAUGAAAGCUGUCAGAAUCUCAUGAUUCCCCCUUGAAGCUUCUGCUCGGAUGUGAACCUUGCCACCUCUACUCACAUUUGUUGACUGAGGCAAUCUCCCACAUUCGUGCAGAUCUGCCUUAUAGAGUGGUGAUAAUCAAAACUCGUGAACACCUGGUAUGGCGUGGACACUGACCAAUCGGAAGAGGUGCCCUGGCAGAGGGCCUAGUGGCCCCUUGCUGUGGCCCAUUUCAUUAUGUAGUUGCUGAUGUAGACGAGGUUCUAGGGGAUCCAGAGGAGAGGCUGGAAUAGCUCAGGUGGUGUGGGACUCUGGGGGCCUCAAGACUGUGGGUAUUUACCAAUCAGUAGAAAAGGAUUCGGUAUUUAAACAAUCAUUUAAGCUGCAUUGGUGUGUCCGGGAUGACUAUCCACCUUGUAAGUAUAUGUGUGUGUGUAUAGGCAGGUUGCAUGUGGCAAUAAAGAAAACAGCAUCCUAGGAUUAUUCCUGAUU
rnacentral:lncRNA from 1 species